rnacentral:rRNA from 1 species
GAGGAAAAGAAACCAACAGGGAUUGCCUCAGUAGCGGCGAGUGAAGCGGCAAGAGCUCAGAUUUGAAAUCGUGCUUUGCGGCACGAGUUGUAGAUUGCAGGUUGGAGUCUGUGUGGAAGGCGGUGUCCAAGUCCCUUGGAACAGGGCGCCCAGGAGGGUGAGAGCCCCGUGGGAUGCCGGCGGAAGCAGUGAGGCCCUUCUGACGAGUCGAGUUGUUUGGGAAUGCAGCUCCAAGCGGGUGGUAAAUUCCAUCUAAGGCUAAAUACUGGCGAGAGACCGAUAGCGAACAAGUACUGUGAAGGAAAGAUGAAAAGCACUUUGAAAAGAGAGUGAAACAGCACGUGAAAUUGUUGAAAGGGAAGGGUAUUGCGCCCGACAUGGGGAUUGCGCACCGCUGCCUCUCGUGGGCGGCGCUCUGGGCUUUCCCUGGGCCAGCAUCGGUUCUUGCUGCAGGAGAAGGGGUUCUGGAACGUGGCUCUUCGGAGUGUUAUAGCCAGGGCCAGAUGCUGCGUGCGGGGACCGAGGACUGCGGCCGUGUAGGUCACGGAUGCUGC